GCCUGGGUGGCUCAGUCGGUGAAGCGUCUGACUUCGGCUCAUGAUCUCGCGGUUCGUGGGUUCGAGCCCCACGUCGGGCU
rnacentral:tRNA from 1 species